CACGUAGGGGGCAAGCGUUGUCCGGAUUUAUUGGGCGUAAAGAGCUCGUAGGCGGUUCGGUAAGUCGGGUGUGAAACCUCCAGGCUCAACCUGGAGACGCCACCCGAUACUGCUGUGACUCGAGUCCGGUAGGGGAGCGUGGAAUUCCCGGUGUAGCGGUGAAAUGCGCAGAUAUCGGGAGGAACACCAGCGGCGAAGGUGGCACUCUGGGCUGGAACUGACGCUGAGGAGCGAAAGCGUGGGUAGCAAACAGG
rnacentral:rRNA from 1 species